rnacentral:rRNA from 1 species
AUUGAACGCUGGCGGCAUGCUUUACACAUGCAAGUCGAACGGCAGCGCGGGCUUCGGCCUGGCGGCGAGUGGCGAACGGGUGAGUAAUGCAUCGGAACGUGCCCAGUUGUGGGGUAUAGCCCGGCGAAAGCCGGAUUAAUACCGCAUACGACCUUAUGGUGAAAGCUGGGGACCGAAAGGCCUCGCGCUUUUUGAUCUGCCGAUGUCGGAUUAGCUAGUUGGUGGGGUAAAGGCUUACCAAGGCGACGAUCCGUAGCUGGUCUGAGAGGACGACCAGCCACACUGGGACUGAGACACGGCCCAGACUACUACGGGAGGCAGCAGUGGGGAAUUUUGGACAAUGGGGGCAAACCUGAUCCAGCCAUGCCGCGUGCGGGAAGAAGGCCUUCGGGUUGUAAACCGCUUUUGUUCGGGAAGAAAACCUCUGGGCUAAUACCCCGGGGGGAUGACGGUACCGGAAGAAUAAGCACCGGCUAACUACGUG